rnacentral:lncRNA from 1 species
UUGAACGCAUCCUACACCCACCGUUUCCCGGUGUCUGCCUACGUUUCACAUCUUAUAUAACCGUCGCCGGCACCACCAUAACCACUGUAAUCUGCCGCAUAUAUCCAUAAGUUCAUACCAAAAUAUAAACCAGAAAACCCACAAAACAAGAAAUUCCCCAGAAGAUGAUGACACCCAAAUGGAAGACGAAGAAAACGGUCGUAGUUUGGUUGUGACACGGAUAAAAGAUUAGAAGAUUCUUUUGGCUUUCGAAAUAGAAAACGGAUCUGAAUUUUGUUAUGCCGGCGAUGUGGAAUAACAAAGGUUUACUUUAGGGUUCCAUGGAUGAAUAGAAAAAAGAAAACGACAGAAUUCUGGCCGGAUACGAAUCUUCUUCUGUUCAUCAUCUUACGGUGGCGGGUAUGGAGGAGGUGCAGGGUUGGGUGUCUGGGUUAAGAGAAAUAGCGGAAGAGAGAGUUUUGGGUUUUUCCUAGAAACGGCUUUUGAAACCCUUUGUCUUUUCGAUUCUCACGUUGAAUAUAACAAUGAGAUUGAUAACUCUGCCAUAUUUUGCAAUUAGGGUAGGUUGAGAUUCACAAUUUUGGGCUUUUUAUCUGCACGGAUCUUAACCCGGAACCAGCUGUUCUGUAUUUGCAAUUUGAUCAUGCAUGAAUGCUUUGGAGUUGGAUUUACGUAUAUCUAUUGUGACUAUCGUACACAUUCUUUUC